ACACUCCUACGGGAGGCAGCAGUGGGGAAUUUUGGACAAUGGGCGAAAGCCUGAUCCAGCAAUGCCGCGUGAGUGAAGAAGGCCUUCGGGUUGUAAAGCUCUUUUGUCAGGGAAGAAACGGUGAAAGCUAAUAUCUUUUGCUAAUGACGGUACCUGAAGAAUAAGCACCGGCUAACUACGUGCCAGCAGCCGCGGUAAUACGUAGGGUGCAAGCGUUAAUCGGAAUUACUGGGCGUAAAGCGUGCGCAGGCGGUUUUGUAAGUCUGAUGUGAAAUCCCCGGGCUCAACCUGGGAAUUGCAUUGGAGACUGCAAGGCUAGAAUCUGGCAGAGGGGGGUAGAAUUCCACGUGUAGCAGUGAAAUGCGUAGAUAUGUGGAGGAACACCGAUGGCGAAGGCAGCCCCCUGGGUCAAGAUUGACGCUCAUGCACGAAAGCGUGGGGAGCAAACAGGAUUAGAUAUCCGAGUAGUCCCAUGA
rnacentral:rRNA from 1 species